AAUGAACGUUGGCGGCGUGGAUUAGGCAUGCAAGUCGAGCGAGAAACUUCCUUCGGGAAGCGGACAGCGGCAGACGGCGUAGUAAAGCGUAGGUAACGUACCCCGCGGACCGGGAUAGCUACGGGAAACUGUAGGUAAUACCGGAUAACCUCUGGUCUCAUGAGAGGUCCAGAGCAAAUGGUGAGAUUCCGCCUCGGGAGCGGCUUACGUGGUAUUAGCUUGUUGGUGAGGUAACGGCUCACCAAGGCAAUGAUGCCUAGGGGGUGUUAGCGCAUGGCCCCACGACUGGGACUGAGACACUGCCCAGACACCUACGGGUGGCUGCAGUCGAGAAUCUUCGGCAAUGGACGAAAGUCUGACCGAGCGACGCCGCGUGCGGGAUGAAGGCCCUUGGGUUGUAAACCGCUGUCAGAGGGGAUGAAAUCAUGGUAGGCAAUCCUUCCAUGUUGACAGAGCCUCAGAGGAAGCCCGGGCUAAGUACGUG
rnacentral:rRNA from 1 species